GGGCUCCUCCGUGGGGACCCUGAAGAAGGGAGGCCGGAGGGCGCUGAUGGCUUUUCCAGAGAGGAAGCGGGGGAAGGUGCCAGGAAGAGAUAAGGUGCAGGGGAUACAGCAAUGAACAAAUUCAAACAAACAUCCCGGAUUCUUUGGAACAUAAAUGAGAAUGGAGACAGGCAGAAACACAGACAUCCAGAUGGAUAACAUAAGGCCAGGCAGUGAUGAAAGCAAUGAAGAAAAGCACAACAGAGAUGAAGCAGGGUACAGGUUCUGGGGUGCGGGUUUGGGGGAAUAUAGUCACAAAAAGGGAGGAUAGGGAAGCCUUUCUGAUGGUUGACAUUUGUGUUAAGACAUGAAGGAGGUGAGCAGUGAGCCCUGUGGAUAGCCAGGUGGGAGAUGGGCCAAGAGGGGAAGUGUCCAGGGAGCGGGAACAGCAAGGGCAAAGGCCCUGAGGUAGGGCUGAGGAGGCCAGCUGUAAAGGCAGGGAGGGAAGGAAGAGGAAAGCAGGGAGGCAGGUAGAGGGUGGAAGGGGACGGCCAUGGGCCACACGGAGGGCUUGGUUUCUGCUGAGUGAGCCAGGAGUCCUGCUUGGGGUGAGAGCAGAGGAGGACAUGAUAACAGCCUGAUUGGUGGUGGGAGAUGAAUGACAGAGUAACAGGACAGAAAAGAGACAGGGAGACGGGAACAGAAAGAAAUGCAGCGGCAGAGGAACAAUUUUCCAUGUAAUUCUGCUCCCCAGCCCCUCCACCUUCUGCCAGAAUGGCCCAGCUUGGAGAACACUCUUAGAUUAGAGAACUAACUAAUCGGAGAGCUGAUAAGUCAGUGACCGCAGCCAAGUAGCGGAGGCCCAGAGGACAGGCCAGAGCUGCCCUGCCUCCCGCCCUGCAUCAUGCUGGGCCGCCCCACCCCUGCUCACCCGCACCAGCCGGGCCCUCUUCACCAGGUCGUUGAGCUUGCGCAGGGCAGCGUGGCGUGGCAGGCCCUGGAUGUCACGAAAGAGGUCCUGCUCCUCCAGCUCAAAGAGGCGCCGGUUGUCGGGCACAAGGAGGGGCUGGGACCAGAAGGAGCCGAUGUAGACGCGCAGCACCUCGGGCGUGCCCACCACUUUGCCUAGCGCCCACAUGAGCGCCCCAUAGACGCGCAUCAGCUGCUGCGUCUCCACCAUGUCUGCCUUGUUGAGCACCACGCGGAUCUUGUCCUCGUGGCCCCGCAGGGCGCCAAUGGCCUCUGAGAAUUCAUCAGAGAUCUCCAGCUUGUGCGCAUCGAAGAGCAGGAUGAUGAGGUCCACACGCUCCGCGAACCAGCGCAGCACGGCUGGGAAGUCAUAGCCUGGACACAAAGAGCAGAGGUCAGCCCCCAGCCUCCUGCCCUCCGGAAGUAGCCAGUCCUUUGCACUGAUAUUGGACUGUACAGAUGGGCAGGUUGUCCUAUCAAAAUCCUUGUCUAUGCAGAAUAGUCAAGACCCAAGUGUGUAUCCACUGCUUUGGACCCCAACCUUCGGAAUCCUUCCUCCCCCUUUUCCAUUCAUUCACCAGGCAGGUAUCAGCAGUGUGUAUUGCCCUGGAUCUACAGGUUGUUAAAAUACUGAAGUUUUCACAGACUCCUUGUGCUUCUAUGGCUUCCCCAGUCCUCCAAAUGCCUCCACCACCCUGGCCUCUCCCCAGGACCUGUGGGGUGUCCCCACAGUGCAGCAACUAAAGAGAUCACAUUGGCCCUGGCUAUGCUCUUGACGUAGCAGGUGUUAAACAUUUUUAGUUUAUUUAACAAUAUUUACUGAGAGCUUUCUGUGCCCCAGGCCCCACCACAGAGAACACAAAUAAGGUCCUGGCCUUUGGGGAGCACCUAUCCCAACAACUGGCUCCUGAAUUCAUUCAUUCAUUCCUUUCCUAAUACAUUCAUGCAUACAAUUCA